AUUGAACGCUGGCGGAAUGCUUUACACAUGCAAGUCGAACGGCAGCACGGACUUCGGUCUGGUGGCGAGUGGUGAACGGGUGAGUAAUACAUCGGAACGUGCCCAGUCGUGGGGGAUAACGUAGCGAGAGCUACGCUAAUACCGCAUACGAUCUAAGGAUGAAAGCGGGGGAUCGCAAGACCUCGCACGAUUGGAGCGGCCGAUGGCAGAUUAGGUAGUUGGUAGGGUAAAGGCCUACCAAGCCGACGAUCUGUAGCUGGUCUGAGAGGAUGAUCAGCCACACUGGGACUGAGACACGGCCCAGACUCCUACGGGAGGCAGCAGUGGGGAAUUUUGGACAAUGGGCGCAAGCCUGAUCCAGCCAUUCCGCGUGCAGGAUGAAGGCCUUCGGGUUGUAAACUGCUUUUGUACAGAACGAAAAGGCUCUGGUUAAUACCCGGGGCUCAUGACGGUACUGUAAGAAUAAGCACCGGCUAACUACGUGCCAGCCGCCGCCGUAA
rnacentral:rRNA from 1 species